CUCUAGGGUCUGUGAGACUUAGAGGCCAUUUACAGUCCAGCAGAGGAGGGGCAUUAGGGAAGGUGCAGAAGGCAUUGUUCCCGCAGUGUGCACACAGGAAACCAGCCCGAGGAGAAUGGAAUGCCUUUGCAAAUAUCUAAUGUUUGCUUGGCACAGCUUGUUCAGUUGAGCUUUGCAAAAUCUUCCUCAGCCUUUGUUUUCCUGGUUUCUGUGGAACGAGUUCAUGUCUCAAGGCAAGUUGGGGCUGGGCUGGCUGGAAACCGCUGAGGAAUUAGAACCCCUCAGACGAGAAGCGGCUCUUUGGUAAAGGCUGAGCUGAGUCCCUCAACACAGUGUGCACAUGAGCAGGUGACAGCUUGGAGAAGAUGGAGCUCCCUGGGCCUUGGGCAGCUGCAGCUGUGCUCUUUCUUCAUCAAGACGCCUCUCCAGUUUCUACUCUGGCUUCGUUGGGCUGGAUUCAAAGAGAAUGAGCUCUUACCCUUGUAUCCUCUUAGAGAUAAUAAUAAUUUUUAAUGGAUGUCUUCCACAUACGGCAUUAUAGUAUUUCUCUGAAUAAUACCUGGAGAUACAUGCUGAUACAUACUGAUCAGUCUGUAGUACACUCAUGCUCAUUUUAUCUAGAUGUCUGCUUGUUGACUCAAUGCAAUUUAGAAGGGAAGAGAUGUAAACUGCUGAGUGUGUCUGGAACUGUUUCUAGAGAGUAUUCGCUGGGGAAGGCAAGACCUGUUCUCAGGCAGUCCCUAGGAAAGCAGUGUCCCUUGCCUGCUGUCUUUGCUUUCCUGAGUGUGUCUAUCACUUCAAUUGCUAUUGAACCUUCCAGCAUCAAUUUAAUAUCAGUGACUGUUUGGGGAGGUUCUGAGACUCCAGCACUGGAUUACAAUGGCCAAAUCAUUCAUUUCUCUGAUGCUCCAGCAGGUUGGAGGCCAUUGUUGAUGGUUUAUGUAACACCAACUAUUAAAAAAAGAAACCCUUCUUA
rnacentral:sRNA from 1 species